ACUUCGGUGGUGUAAUGGUAGCGCACUCUCUCGGUAAGGGUGAAGCGCGGAUUCCACCUCCGCCUGGGAUG